rnacentral:rRNA from 1 species
CCUACGGGCGGCUGCAGUGGGGAAUAUUGGACAAUGGGGGGAACCCUGAUCCAGCCAUGCCGCGUGUGUGAAGAAGGCCCUCGGGUUGUAAAGCACUUUCAGUGAGGAAGAACGCCUGGUGGUUAAUACCCAUCAGGAAAGACAUCACUCACAGAAGAAGCACCGGCUAACUCCGUGCCAGCAGCCGCGGUAAUACGGAGGGUGCGAGCGUUAAUCGGAAUUACUGGGCGUAAAGCGCGCGUAGGUGGCUUGAUAAGCCAGUUGUGAAAGCCCCGGGCUCAACCUGGGAACGGCAUCCGGAACUGUCAAGCUAGAGUGCAGGAGAGGAAGGUAGAAUUCCCGGUGUAGCGGUGAAAUGCGUAGAGAUCGGGAGGAAUACCAGUGGCGAAGGCGGCCUUCUGGACUGACACUGACACUGAGGUGCGAAAGCGUGGGUAGCAAACAGGAUUAGAUACCCCGGUAGUC